rnacentral:rRNA from 1 species
CACUGGGUGUCGGUCAUUAAUUAGAUCGGUGCCGGAGCUAACGCAUUAAGUGAACCGCCUGGGGACUACGGCCGCAAGGCUAAAACUCAAGAGAACUGACGGGGCCCUGCACAAGCGGUGGAGCACGUGGUUUAAUUCGAUUAUAAGCGAAGAACCUUACCUGGGCUUGACAUACUAGCAGUAGGAGCCAGAGAUGGUAACGACCCCUACUUUUGGUAGGGGAACUAGUACAGGUGAUGCAUGGCUGUCGUCAGCUCGUGUCGUGGGACGUUGGGUUAAGUCCCGAAACGAGCGCAACCCCUGUUGUUAGUUGCCAGCGGGUAAUGCCGGGGACUCUAACAAGACUGCUGGUGAAUAGCCGGAGGAAGGAGGGGAUGACGUCAAGUCAUCAUGUCCCUUAUGUCCAGGGCGACACACAUGCUACAAUGGGAGGUACAAAGGGCUGCUAAACCGUAAGGUCAUGCGAAUCCCAGAAAGCCUUCCUUAGUUCGGAUUGAGGUCUGCAACCCGACCUCAUGAAGCCGGAAUCGCUAGUAAUCGCAGGUCAGCCACACUGCGGUGAAUAUGUACUCAGGGCUUGUACA